AUGGUGAACAUUCCUAAAACCUGCCAGACUUUCCGUAAGAAGUGAGGCAAGCACCAACCCCACAAACUGACGCAGUACAAGAAGGGUAAGGAUCCACUGUAUGUCCAGGGAAAGCAGCAUUAUAACAAGAAGCAGAGUGGCUAGGGUGGGCAGACUAAGCCAAUUUUCCAGAAAAAGGUUAAAACCACAAAAAAGACUGUGCUGAGCCUUGAGUGCAUUGAGCCCAAUUGCAGAGCUAAGAGAAGGCUGACUAUUAAGAGAUGCAAGCAUUUUAAACUGGCGGGAGAUAGGAAGAAAAGGGCCAAGUGACCUAGUUCAA
rnacentral:lncRNA from 1 species